rnacentral:rRNA from 1 species
UACGUAGGGCGCAAGCGUUGUCCGGAAUUAUUGGGCGUAAAGAGCUCGUAGGCGGUUUGUCGCGUCUGUCGUGAAAGCUUGGGGCUUAACCCCAAGUCUGCGGUGGAUACGGGCAGACUAGAGGCAGGUAGGGGAGAACGGAAUUCCCGGUGUAGCGGUGAAAUGCGCAGAUAUCAGGAAGAACACCUAUGGCGAAGGCAGCUCUCUGGGACGGUACUGACGCUGAGACGCGAAAGCGUGGGGAGCGAACAGG